AAAAAAGGUAAGCUACUAAGAGCGAAUGGUGGAUGCCUUGACUGGUAAAGGCGAUGAAGGACGUACUAGACUGCGAUAAGCUACGGGGAGCUGUCAAGAAGCUUUGAUCCGUAGAUUUCCGAAUGGGGCAACCCAAUGUAUAGAGAUAUACAUUACCUAUAUAGGAGCGAACGAGGGGAAUUGAAACAUCUUAGUACCCUCAGGAAAAGAAAUCAAUAGAGAUUGCGUCAGUAGCGGCGAGCGAAAGCGCAAGAGGGCAAACCCAGUGCUUGCACUGGGGGUUGUAGGACUGCAAUGUGCAAGAGGUAAGUUUAGCAGAACAUUCUGGAAAGUAUAACCAUAGAGGGUGAUAGUCCCGUAUGCGAAAAACAAACCUUAGCUAGCAGUAUCCUGAGUAGGGCGGGACACGAGGAAUCCUGUCUGAAUCCGGGUCGACCACGAUCCAACCCUAAAUACUAAUACCAGAUCGAUAGUGCACAAGUACCGUGAGGGAAAGGUGAAAAGAACUGAGGUGAUCAGAGUGAAAUAGAACCUGAAACCAUUUGCUUACAAUCAUUCAGAGCCCUAUGUAGCAAUACAGGGUGAUGGACUGCCUUUUGCAUAAUGAGCCUGCGAGUUGUGGUGUCUGGCAAGGUUAAGCAAACGCGAAGCCGUAGCGAAAGCGAGUCUGAAUAGGGCGCUUAGUCAGAUGCUGCAGACCCGAAACGAAGUGAUCUAUCCAUGAGCAAGUUGAAGCUAGUGUAAGAACUAGUGGAGGACUGAACCCAUAGGCGUUGAAAAGCCCCGGGAUGACUUGUGGAUAGGGGUGAAAGGCCAAUCAAACUUCGUGAUAGCUGGUUCUCUCCGAAAUAUAUUUAGGUAUAGCGUUGUGUCGUAAUAUAAGGGGGUAGAGCACUGAAUGGGCUAGGGCAUACACCAAUGUACCAAACCCUAUCAAACUCCGAAUACCUUAUAUGUAAUCACAGCAGUCAGGCGGCGAGUGAUAAAAUCCGUCGUCAAGAGGGAAACAACCCAGACUACCAGCUAAGGUCCCUAAAUCUUACUUAAGUGGAAAACGAUGUGAAGUUACUUAAACAACCAGGAGGUUGGCUUAGAAGCAGCCAUCCUUUAAAGAAAGCGUAAUAGCUCACUGGUCUAGUGAUUUUGCGCGGAAAAUAUAACGGGGCUAAAGUAAGUACCGAAGCUGUAGACUUGCACACAACUUAGAUUAUUUAAGUUUAGAAUAUGAGAAACUAAGUUAUAUGUUUAGUUAUAUUUUUACUGAUUUUUAUAGAGUAAAGAUAGAAAUAAAACUUAGUAAAAUCAGUAAAAAUAUUCUUAGACUAAAGUUAAGUAGUUUAAGUUGUGUGCAAGUGGUAGGAGAGCGUUCUAUUUGCGUCGAAGGUAUACCGGUAAGGAGUGCUGGAGCGAAUAGAAGUGAGCAUGCAGGCAUGAG
rnacentral:rRNA from 1 species